ACAUAAAACUGGUGACGCUGAUAUUUACUUCUAUAGAGAAAUAUUAAAGUAUAUCAGCACAUAAUUCAUUAAGAUGACUCUGAAGUCAAUUUUCACAGAUCUCCAUCUCGGGCAUAAUCAUUAUUCAAUUUGUUCUUAUUUUCUUUGCCCAUAUAUAGAUCAAACUAAAGGAAUGCAAUUUUUCCAGUUGCAUAAUUAGUUGAAUGACAUUAUUAAUAUUUCGAACAAGUCGAUAAGCAAGUACUACUUGAAGUAAUUAUAGUUCAAAACUUGUGCCGAUAAGCAUUUUUACGUUAUAUAAGUGAAGUAGAAAUCUGUGAGUUGCUAUAUUAAUGAUUUAUGGAUCAUAUAUUUCAAAUUUUUUGAAGAAAAUGCUAUACAGACUUAUUCAUGGGCUGUCGAAUGGAAAGUUUUAUAAGUUUUAAUCAGCUCGAUGGGA